rnacentral:other from 2 species
AUUUCUCUGAGAUGUUCGCAAGCGGGCCAGUCCCCUGAGCCGAUAUUUCAUACCAACAGAAUGUGGCGCUCCAUGGUUGGUGAGCAUGCUCGGUUCGUCCGAGAAGCCUUAAGACCAUGACGACACAUUCACCUUGAACCAAGGGUUCAAGGGUUACAGCCUGCGGCGGCAUCUCGGAGAUUCC